ACAAACUUGGUCAUUUAGAGGAAGUAAAAGUCGUAACAAGGUUUCCGUAGGUGAACCUGCGGAAGGAUCAUUACAGUUAGUUUUAGUUUACUCGCCUGCGCUUAAUUGCGCGGCGGUAGGCAAACAUCUUACACACUGUGUUUUUGUUUUUAUUGAAAACUUGCUUUGGUUUGGCGCAAGCCGGGCCAGAGACUAGCACUUAAACUUCAAUUUUACGAUUGAAUUGUUAUUAAAUUUAUUGUCAAUUUUGUUUGAUUAAAUUCAAAAUAAUCUUCAAAACUUUCAACAACGGAUCUCUUGGUUCUCGCAUCGAUGAAGAACGCAGC
rnacentral:misc_RNA from 1 species